rnacentral:lncRNA from 13 species
UCCUGUAGGUUCUCUUUCCAACCCUGUUCCUGAAGAGCUACCGUCAUGUAGGUUUUAACUCCAACCCUGUUCCCGGAGAGAUACCCUCCUGUAGGUUUUCAAUCCAAUUCCAGUUGUAACUAACCUGAUUCAACUUAUUAACCAGCUAAUUACAAGAGUCAGGUGCGCUAGGUUAGGGUUGGAGAGAGAACCUACAGGAUGGUACGAUAACUGUCCAGGAACAGGGUUGGAGAGAGAACCUACAAGACGGUACAGUAACUCUCCAGGAACAGGGUUGGAGAGAGAACCUACAGGAUGGUACAGUAACUCUCCAGGAACAGGGUUNNNNNNNNNNCGAUCGUCUGCUGCUCGUCAUCUCUCAGUCGGCUCGCCUGUCACAUACUAAUCUUGUACUGUGAGAAAGCAGGCUAGCCAUAGAAAUAUAAUCUCUAGAAUGGAAAUCCUCUACCAGGUCAGCCAUAUUGAGUGUACCCUUUAGUUCACCAGUCACAGCCAUAGGGAGAGGUUCUAUAAACCUUCUAUGGCAAACAGGCAAACACACAGUUGUUGUGAAUAGAUGAAAUAGGGCAAACUGAUAAAUACAUAUUCUUAAUAGUUUUAUUUAUACUUUAUUCAACAUUUAACAAAUGUAACUGAACUCCAUGUUACAGUUAGUUGAAUUGUUUGGUUCCAUGCUUGUGUUUGUUUCAAACUCCAUCCAAUAUUUUAUCUUUAUCACUGACCUCAACCCAGAGUCUUUUAGAGCGUUCACAGAACAUAAAAAUACAGUAUAUGAAUCCAUAAAUACCUCAUAUAGCACUGUAGUCCACCACAAACAACUGUGACGAUUUACACACAAAAAUAGAGUAUAGUAUAUUUCAUUUCAAAUUCAUAUAGUCGUUAUAUAUGGAUACUUAGGUGCUUUUUCAUAAACUGAAAUACAGAGCACUUCGCAUAUAGUGAUAAUCUGUGCAGGACUGUCAGCGAUUGAUCACUAUACAGUUUUCACUAUCAGCAGAGUGUACUGUAUACAGUAUUCACUAACAGAGUGGUGUAAACAGUAUUCACUAUUAGCAGAGUGGUGUAUACAGUAUUCACUAUCAGCAGAGUGGUGUAAACAGUAUUCACUAACAGAGUGGUGUAUACAGUAUUCACUAACAGAGUGGUGUAUACAGUAUUCACUAACAGAGUGGUGUAUACAGUAUUCACUAACAGAGUGGUGUAUACAGUAUUCACUAACAGAGUGGUGUAUACAGUAUUCACUAACAGAGUGGUGUAAACAGUAUUCACUAACCGAGUGGUGUAUACAGUAUUCACUAUUAACAGAGUAUACUGUAUACAGUAUUCACUAUUAGCAGAGUGUACUGUAUACAGUAUUCACUAACAAAGUGGUGUAUACAGUAUUCACUAACAGAGCGGUGUAUACAGUAUUCACUAUUANNNNNNNNNNUCGAUCGUCUGCUGCUCGUCAUCUCUCAGUCGGCUCGCCUGUCACAUACUAAUCUUGUACUGUGAGAAAGCAGGCUAGCCAUAGAAAUAUAAUCUCUAGAAUGGAAAUCCUCUACCAGGUCAGCCAUAUUGAGUGUACCCUUUAGUUCACCAGUCACAGCCAUAGGGAGAGGUUCUAUAAACCUUCUAUGGCAAACAGGCAAACACACAGUUGUUGUGAAUAGAUGAAAUAGGGCAAACUGAUAAAUACAUAUUCUUAAUAGUUUUAUUUAUACUUUAUUCAACAUUUAACAAAUGUAACUGAACUCCAUGUUACAGUUAGUUGAAUUGUUUGGUUCCAUGCUUGUGUUUGUUUCAAACUCCAUCCAAUAUUUUAUCUUUAUCACUGACCUCAACCCAGAGUCUUUUAGAGCGUUCACAGAACAUAAAAAUACAGUAUAUGAAUCCAUAAAUACCUCAUAUAGCACUGUAGUCCACCACAAACAACUGUGACGAUUUACACACAAAAAUAGAGUAUAGUAUAUUUCAUUUCAAAUUCAUAUAGUCGUUAUAUAUGGAUACUUAGGUGCUUUUUCAUAAACUGAAAUACAGAGCACUUCGCAUAUAGUGAUAAUCUGUGCAGGA